rnacentral:rRNA from 1 species
UAGACCGCCUGGGGAGUACGGCCGCAAGGUUAAAACUCAAAUGAAUUGACGGGGGCCCGCACAAGCGGUGGAGCAUGUGGUUUAAUUCGAUGCAACGCGAAGAACCUUACCUGGUCUUGACAUCCACAGAACUUUCCAGAGAUGGAUUGGUGCCUUCGGGAACUGUGAGACAGGUGCUGCAUGGCUGUCGUCAGCUCGUGUUGUGAAAUGUUGGGUUAAGUCCCGCAACGAGCGCAACCCUUAUCCUUUGUUGCCAGCGGUUAGGCCGGGAACUCAAAGGAGACUGCCAGUGAUAAACUGGAGGAAGGUGGGGAUGACGUCAAGUCAUCAUGGCCCUUACGACCAGGGCUACACACGUGCUACAAUGGCGCAUACAAAGAGAAGCGACCU